UAGGUGGACCUGGCUAUUUGUGGGACAGAUGCAGGGGAUUAACAUGGAUUGACAAGCGGUUUGGAGAUGUGCUUUAACCGAGUCACACUGAAGAAGUCAGAAGUGCAGCUGGCAAAACGCACUAUCAAAACUCAUUCAAGAAAACUGAUAUACUUAGUCCCUGUGUCUCAGGUCAUAGAAAAAAAAGUAUUUUGGAUUCAUCAGUGCAGAAAGAGGCAGUACUUCAGUGUGUGAAUUGGUCGGUAGCCCAAAACAUUACUAAAGCAAACCAAGCAAAGCCUGAGCGGAAAGCAUUAACAGUUCAGAGGUUGCCCUGAAAUCAAGCAGCAAGUAGGCACACACAUCUAGUGUCAUGUUUGCUGCACAAAAGUAUAUGCUAUUUUCAGCAGAAACAACACAAAACAAAGCAUAGGAUAUACCCAGUAGUGUAUUCAGUCUAUAAUGCUUAGAUUUCCUGCUCACGUAUUGCCCUUGCAAGCAAGCAGCAUUACCUGCAGUAGCACUAGGCAAAACUCCCAAACAGGCUUCACAAGCUCCCAUAAGGAAGAGAGUUGCUUCAGUUUCUUAUAAACAUGGUGAUAUGCAGAUUAACUGAAUUGACUGGAGAAGUCAGAAGUAGGGUCAUUAAAGAUUAAUUUCAAAAUGUACAGUUCGUGGUAAAAACAACCAGAGAAAAGUGCAUUCCUUAUCAUUUUGUGUAUUAGUGUUCUCUCUUGUGCUGAAUUACAGGCUGCAUCCCAAAUCUUCAGUGAAGUAACCUAAACAGGAAUCCAUGACAGUUAGUUAGUUAGUAGAUGAGUUUCAUUGGUGACAGUUUUGCUGCACAGUAGUUUAUGUUGUUUAUGGGAAAAACAAUCCAUAAAAUGUUCCCAGGAGGAUGCUUAAUCUAUAAAAUAGUGAAGUAAUGUUUAUAUUUCCUGCUUGGUUGUGAUUCUCCCAAACUAACAUUAGUUUUUAAAUGGAUAACAAAUGGCAAACUUCAGCAACACAUUGUUUAGUACAGACUCCAUAACAACCAAAUUUUGAUAAAUAAAGUAGUUAUUUUGGUUUAUUAUAAAGUUAGUAAUAUAUAAACAUUUGAUGAAAUAAGCCCCAAAAGAACACACAAACAGCAGACCUAAGAUGUAGCUCACCCUAAAUUCUUCUAUCAAUGAGCUCCUCCUCUUUAGGCAGUUCUUACCUAUUUCACUAUUUACAUGCCAACCAAUACUUUUAGAUUCCUGAUGUUUUUCUCUGCCCUGCAUAGUUCCAUGUGGAUUCUGCAUGAAUUAAUUGAGUGUUAACAGAAGCAUACUUGUAUCUGGAUACUUUGCAAUUAUUAUCAUUUCUUGUUGCUCUUAAGUUAUAAGGUACUUGCAGUUUUUUAUUGUUUCUGUAUUUAUGAAAUUAGAUUUAGACUGCUUUAACAGUUUCAUUACAUACUCUUAUUCUCAGAUUUAUUCUGCAGGCAUGUAAUUGUAUAACCACGGAUGGAAUUCAUAGUCAAGUAGCGCAUACUAAAGCUGUACUUAGUAGCUAUGGGAAGGAUGCAGGGAUUCAAAAACAGUGAGUAAUGCAUUGUCUGCAGAGCCAUGAACCACACUCCCCAUAAAGAGAACUACAAAAUUUUAAAACUGUACACCUACUCAGCAUGUCUUUGAAUCCCAGCCCAUAUUACUUGUAUUGUUAUGUUACUCUAUAUUUGUUCAUUGAUGUAAUGGUUUUCUACCCAGACCUUUACUGUAAAUGAUUGUGCCCAGUUGGAUCUUCCUGGUAAACAAACAUCUUGUUGCCCAUAAAAAAAAAAGAAAUAAAUGUAUUAUUGUUAUUAUA